CCCAAGCCCCUAAUGGCAUAGUCAGCAUUCACUACAUAUUUACAAGGACCACCCUCCUGGGGCUUUCAGAGGGACUGCCUUAGAAGUGUUCUGGUCAAGCAUGGGGGUGGGCAGUGACAUUCCUCUCCAGAUGAAAGUUGAGAGACAGACGCUGCAGAAAUCAAGGCCUCCCCCACACGGCCUGGUAAUAGGAGAGCCCAACUGCUACUUCUUAACAACUGUGAAGCCAUGAUAAUGGGCCCUAAUAAAUUUUCCUUGCAGUUUCAAGAGGAUGUGGUUAUCUUUCACUUCCUGUCCCAAACUGCCCUGCAUUGUUGCGCCACGGACAGCUGCUUCACAUCAAGGCGUGGCCACGUUCCAGCCUGGGGAUGGGGGGAGUCUGAAGUGCCACCCUGCUGCAGGGGCAGCUAUCAUAGGUGGGGUAGACGCCGGGUCUCCAACUCUCAAGUCGUCUGGAUGCUGAUGUCUAAAGCAGGACGUUAGAAUGUUUGGUUGGGAAGAGAUCAGAACCAUCGUUCAAGUUUCACAGAUGAAACACAGAUGCCCCGUGGGGAGAAAAGACUUCCUCGCUGUGUGUUAACCAACUGUCAUAUAUCACGCACGCAUUCUUGUCAUGUUGCUUCUUUCGUAAACAGAGGACAGGGAUGAACAAGUGAAGGUCAUUAACCGGCAACCCACUCCGGUGUUCUUGCCUGGAGAAUCCCAGGGAUGGGGGAGCCUGGUGGGCUGCCGUCUAUGGGGUCGCACAGAGUCAGACACGACUGAAGUGACUUAGCAGCAGCAGCAGCAGCAGGUCAUUAACCAGUUUGGCCUCUAACUCAGAAAGCCCUGUUAUGACCCUUGGACCCACUGACUGCUGUUACUUUGUCUGCUUGAUCUAAAGAGUGUUCUCUGGGGACUUGUUUCUGGCGAAGAAAAUAUCUAACCUCAGACGGUUGACUGAUAACAGAAUUCCUAAGGGUUCCUGUUUCUUUAGACCUAAUUAUCUGUGGCCUGUACUGAUAUUUAACUUCUUUUAUUUAUUUUUGGCUGUGCUAGGU
ensembl:lncRNA